AGACUUAGUAGCGGACGGGUGAGUAAUGUAUGAGCAACCUGCCUUCAAGAGGGGAAUAACAGUCGGAAACGACUGCUAAUACCGCAUAACAAAGCGUAGUCGCAUGACAAUGCUUUCAAAGGAGCAAUCCGCUUGAAGAUGGGCUCAUAUCUGAUUAGAUAGUUGGUGAGGUAACGGCUCACCAAGUCUGCGAUCAGUAGCCGAACUGAGAGGUUGAUCGGCCACACUGGGACUGAGACACGGCCCAGACUCC
rnacentral:rRNA from 1 species